rnacentral:rRNA from 1 species
UACGGGGGGAGCAAGCGUUGUUCGGAUUUACUGGGCGUAAAGGGCGCGUAGGCGGCCAGCACAAGUCAGUUGUGAAAUCUCCGGGCUUAACUCGGAAAGGUCAACUGAUACUGUGCGGCUAGAGUGCGGAAGGGGCAACUGGAAUUCUCGGUGUAGCGGUGAAAUGCGUAGAUAUUCGGAGGAACACCGAUGGCGAAGGCAGAUCUCUGGGCCGUAACUGACGCUGAGGCGCGAAAGCGUGGGGAGCAAACAGG